GCUCCUCUCUUCAGCCCGAGCUCGAGCCAAGCCCUGCUCUCACCACCCUGGCCAUCUUCGGCCGCCGUUCGUCCAUUUCUUUCCGAGAGAGUCUCCCCAACCGUGUUCCGCACCUCCACGAGCCUUGCUCGAGCCUUCCCCGGCGGGAAUCGACGGCCCUACCGCCGACCGCCAUGGGAGCGCCGCCCGAGCUCCGCCUCUUCGCGUCGAUCCGCUUCUCCGGUCCUCCUCCACCCAAAUCGACCAUGGGAAUGGAUUCUUGAAUACGUGGUGAGAACGUCGACAAUAGAUGGAUCGUGAAGCUCAGGAUCGGUGAAGCAGGAUUGAGAGGGGAUUCGUGAAUUCCCGGCCCAAUGGUUGGAAGGGCCCAAGGCCUUGUUAAUAUUAACACUAACUUAGUGUUACCCUCAGGUAUAGGAGCUAACUGGGUUUCACAUCGGUGGGCUCGAUGUGGCGCCUUGUCUUCACGUCUCG